rnacentral:lncRNA from 1 species
UUCAACAAAAUAUGAGAAUAAAUUCAAUGAAUUAUAGCACCAUAAUGUAACUAAAUAUAUAAACAUGUUAAACAACAAUUUUUAUCAAUAAUUCAUAUUAACCAAUAGUAAUUAAAUGUUAAUUUUACAACAGUCCAUUUUAAAGGGACAUAAUACUGUUCUAAAACAUAGGGUCGCCGUUACAUUCCUCCCUCCUUAAAAAAAACUGAAGCCAUGAAGUUUAAAAACAAGGCUGGUAUGAAUCUCCAUUAUAUACAAACAGUAUAUUCAUCCAUAUAUAUUGCACACGGAACACAUUCCAAUUCCUUUAUCAAUUGAACACUAGAAAUGCUGGCCAUAUCAUCUCCAAUAUCAGUUAUAAACACUCGUAUAUAUUAUCUCAUAUCAUCACCAUCACUGAAAACAAGUGCUGAAAAAUUUAAUAACAAAAUUAAACAAAUAGUUAAACUGAA